rnacentral:rRNA from 1 species
UACAGAGGUCUCAAGCGUUUGUUCGGAUUCAUUGGGCGUAAAGGGUGCGUAGGUGGUGGGGUAAGUCGGAUGUGAAAUCCCGGGGCUCAACCCCGGAACUGCAUUCGAUACUGCCUUGCUCGAGUACUGGAGAGGAGACUGGAAUUUACGGUGUAGCAGUGAAAUGCGUAGAUAUCGUAAGGAAGACCAGUGGCGAAGGCGAGUCUCUGGACAGUUACUGACACUGAGGCACGAAGGCCAGGGGAGCAAACGGG